ensembl:lncRNA
GCAUGCUUGUGGCAAACCUGUGCGCGGUGCACGCAGCUACGACGUAUGUGGAUUGGCGAUUUUGAAAAGGGGUGUUCAGUUCUUAGUUCUGAGAGGGCUGUACACUCAUUUUGGAGGACGAUAUGACUGUGCAAGAUAUAUAAUUACUGGUCGGGUUUUCGAAUAUGUAACAAGAAGAGUCUGAUCGUAAUGCCAGGCCAGUGGGUGAUUCUCUAAACGCUCUAAUCUCUCCCAAGCAAGGAUUUCAUUAUGUAUCUGCGUGUAGUUUCGCCAAACCGAUAUUUUCAAAUGCAUUAUGGAUUUAUGGAACAUUAUUCACCUAUUACUUAAUUUUGUGAACGUUUUCGGAGGGCUGCGUGGCUGAACUAAAGACAUUUGGGGCAAAGCAGCUACGUAGCCGUUUUUUUAUGUUACAGUAUUUUAACAAUGAGAGCAGCAACGGCACCUCCCAUGAGAAAUCUGCAUGCACAAACAGCAUGGAGACCUACCAUGGCACAGCCUCGGCAUGCUGCCAGCCUGGUGUCACCUGAACAGACAUUAGAGAUGUGAACCUGCCGUUGGCAUCAUGGUCAGGGCUUUGCAGCAACAGCGGGAGCCAUUCAAAAUGGAGUGUGGGAAAGCUUUCACGUUGCCCUCCUGCAGGGCGGCAGUCUGGUCGGCGGGAGCGUGCAGUUGUCCAGGUAAGGAUGUGUGUCUGUGUGGAUGUCUAUGCAUUUAUACAUACAGUAUGCUGGUGCUGUGCAUCUGUGCUUGUGUU